CUUGACGAUCAUAGAGCGUUGGAACCACCUGAUCCCUUCCCGAACUCAGAAGUGAAACGACGCAUCGCCGAUGGUAGUG
rnacentral:rRNA from 1 species